rnacentral:rRNA from 1 species
AUUGAACGCUGGCGGCAUGCCUUACACAUACAAGUCGAACGGCAGCACGGGAGCAAUCCUGGUGGCGAGUGGCGAACGGGUGAGUAAAGUAUCGGAACGUGCCCAGUCGUGGGGGAUAACGUAGCGAAAGUUACGCUAAUACCGCAUACGAUCUAUGGAUGAGAGCGGGGGAUCGCAAGACCUCGCGCGAUUGGAGCGGCCGAUAUCAGAUUAGGUAGUUGGUGGGGUAAAGGCUCACCAAGCCGACGAUCUGUAGCUGGUCUGAGAGGACGACCAGCCACACUGGGACUGAGACACGGCCCAGACUCCUACGGGAGGCAGCAGUGGGGAAUUUUGGACAAUGGGCGCAAGCCUGAUCCAGCCAUGCCGCGUGCAGGAUGAAGGCCUUCGGGUUGUAAACUGCUUUUGUACGGAACGAAAAGGUUUGACUUAAUACGUUGGACUCAUGACGGUACCGUAAGAAUAAGCACCGGCUAACUACGUGCCAGCCGCCGCGGUAACAC